rnacentral:rRNA from 1 species
GACAGAGGUGCCAAGCGUUAGGCGGAAUCACUGGGCUUAAAGCGUGUGUAGGCGGAUUGGUAAGUACCUUGUGAAAUCCCACGGCUCAACCGUGGAACUGCUUGGUAUACUGCUUAUCUUGAGCCACUUAGGGGCUACCGGAACAAAUGGUGGAGCGGUGAAAUGCGUAGAUAUCAGGAGGAACACCGAUGGCGAAGGCAGCUCGCUGGGACGGUACUGACGCUGAGGCGCGAAAGCGUGGGGAGCAAACAGG